CUGCAAAGUAUUGCAACUAACACCACUAUUUAUUGUGAUGUCAGCCUUUAAUCGAGUCCAGAUUCAUUAUGAUUUGUCAUUUGAGCAUCUAGCUUGCCUAGUGAACAAAAAUUGCAGCUUGGUUAAGAUGACUACAAUUCAAGAAGUAAGAUUGGAACUACUUGAUGCAUUACCAACCACAAGUAGUCAUUCUUUCAAAGGCAUUUGAUGACUAACUAGUUGCAUCACUCAUGAUGUCACUAUGUUUUCUUGGGUUGCUCCAAAGAUGAUGCGCAUUGUAGACAACAAGACUUAUCCCCAAGUGUUUGUUGAUUGGUUUUAUGAUCGGUCAGCAAUUCAGAUAAUUGACUUGUCUACUGAAGC